GUAGAAUUGGAAGUUUAAUUUCCAAACAAAUAAAAGAUAAGCAGCAUCGCAGCAACAUUACAACAAUAAGAUGUCAAGAUCUAUUCUUCUGAUCAAAUUCGCAUUAUCACAAUUAUCAUUUUAUCUAUAAUUAUUCUACCUUAAUAUCUUGAUAUUGAGCAGAUAUAAGGCACUUCUUAGUGUUGUUUCGUUGUUGAUUUAAGGUUGCUUAGGAGCUGCUGAUUUGUCAUAUAUGAGGCUGUUCAGGUAGUUCCGGAAGAAGAAAUUAGUGUGAUUGAGUUGAAAGAUUUGUUAGAGCUUGAAGUUGACUUUUGCAAGACUUGAAAGUAUUAGGUCAUUCUUGGAUGAAUGGCUACUUCGGUUUAGAGGCUUAGAAAUCCCUCUCCUUUUGGCUCUUGAUACAUUUUGUCUUGAUGGUCUUGUUUCUGUUAUAAUUGUGCAAAUGGUCAAGUAAAAGUUUUUGGGAAGGUUGUAAAUUGACUUUUGGGCGAGAAUUAUGUCAAAAUGGGUAAAACGACCCAUUUGAUGGUCUCCAUGGGAUUUGAAACAAGUUAUGUUGUAAUUGUGUUCGAAAUGUGUCUAUAAUGUUGUUAGUAACUUCUGGAAUGUAGAUUGUGAAGUUCAUCGUGAUAUGAUAAGGUUGCAAGUUGGCUCAA